CUUAAAUUGAAGAGUUUGAUCAUGGCUCAGAUUGAACGCUGGCGGCAGGCCUAACACAUGCAAGUCGGGCGGUAGCACAGAAGAGCUUGCUCUUUGGGUGACGAGCGGCGGACGGGUGAGUAAUGUCUGGGAAACUGCCUGAUGGAGGGGGAUAACUACUGGAAACGGUAGCUAAUACCGCAUAACCUCGCAAGAGCAAAGAGGGGGACCUUCGGGCCUCUCGCCAUCAGAUGUGCCCAGAUGGGAUUAGCUAGUAGGUGAGGUAAUGGCUCACCUAGGCGACGAUCCCUAGCUGGUCUGAGAGGAUGACCAGCCACACUGGAACUGAGACACGGUCCAGACUCCUACGGGAGGCAGCAGUGGGGAAUAUUGCACAAUGGGCGCAAGCCUGAUGCAGCCAUGCCGCGUGUGUGAAGAAGGCCUUCGGGUUGUAAAGCACUUUCAGCGGGGAGGAAGGCGGUAAGGUUAAUAACCUUAUCGAUUGACGUUACCCGCAGAAGAAGCACCGGCUAACUCCGUGCCAGCAGCCGCGGUAAUACGGAGGGUGCAAGCGUUAAUCGGAAUGACUGGGCGUAAAGCGCACGCAGGCGGUCUGUUAAGUUGGAUGUGAAAUCCCCGGGCUUAACCUGGGAACUGCAUUCAAAACUGACAGGCUAGAGUCUUGUAGAGGGGGGUAGAAUUCCAGGUGUAGCGGUGAAAUGCGUAGAGAUCUGGAGGAAUACCGGUGGCGAAGGCGGCCCCCUGGACAAAGACUGACGCUCAGGUGCGAAAGCGUGGGGAGCAAACAGGAUUAGAUACCCUGGUAGUCCACGCUGUAAACGAUGUCGAUUUGGAGGUUGUGCCCUUGAGGCGUGGCUUCCGGAGCUAACGCGUUAAAUCGACCGCCUGGGGAGUACGGCCGCAAGGUUAAAACUCAAAUGAAUUGACGGGGGCCCGCACAAGCGGUGGAGCAUGUGGUUUAAUUCGAUGCAACGCGAAGAACCUUACCUACUCUUGACAUCCAGAGAAUUUGCUAGAGAUAGCUUAGUGCCUUCGGGAACUCUGAGACAGGUGCUGCAUGGCUGUCGUCAGCUCGUGUUGUGAAAUGUUGGGUUAAGUCCCGCAACGAGCGCAACCCUUAUCCUUUGUUGCCAGCGAUUCGGUCGGGAACUCAAAGGAGACUGCCGGUGAUAAACCGGAGGAAGGUGGGGAUGACGUCAAGUCAUCAUGGCCCUUACGAGUAGGGCUACACACGUGCUACAAUGGCGUAUACAAAGAGAAGCGACCUCGCGAGAGCAAGCGGACCUCAUAAAGUACGUCGUAGUCCGGAUUGGAGUCUGCAACUCGACUCCAUGAAGUCGGAAUCGCUAGUAAUCGUAGAUCAGAAUGCUACGGUGAAUACGUUCCCGGGCCUUGUACACACCGCCCGUCACACCAUGGGAGUGGGUUGCAAAAGAAGUAGGUAGCUUAACCUUCGGGAGGGCGCUUACCACUUUGUGAUUCAUGACUGGGGUGAAGUCGUAACAAGGUAACCGUAGGGGAACCUGCGGUUGGAUCACCUCCUUACCAAGAAG
rnacentral:rRNA from 2 species